rnacentral:snRNA from 1 species
UCGCUUUGGCAGCACAUAUACUAAAAUUGGAAUGAUACGAGAAGAUUAGCAUGGCCCCUGAGCAAGGAUGACAUGCAAAUUCAUGAAGCAUUCCAUAUUGUU